UGGGCUAUAGCUCAGUGGCAGAGCAUGUGCCUUGCAUGUAGAAGGUCGCAGGUUCAAUACCAGCAACUCCAA